UUGAAUUUAAAUGUUUCACUUGCAUUGUAAAUCGAACAAUAUUAUUGGGACAUUAGUGCAGUCAUGAUCUCAUAUAUAUAUUGUACACUACAGUUAUACAUAGAACGAAGGCACAAAUGUAGCUUAACUUCAUUGAUCAUAGUACUUCACAAGUUCAUAUUACACCGAUCAACUAAAUGAUUCGACAUACUUGUGCAACUAUAACAUGCACUUUCAGCGGUUCUUCAUCCAUGGACUUCCUUCACCUGCAAAAAUCAAAAUCAUCAAUUUACAUAAAAUCAGGUCUUACAUUAUAGGAGUGAUGUAUAGAUGUCAAUAUAUAGUAAACGAUUCAACAAAUAACAAUGACUGCUUACAUGAGGAUUCGCUUUUGCAUUUGGAGGAGGCCCUCCAGGAGGGCUUGUAUGCGGAUCAUGAUAAUCAAUAUCAUAUAGUCUUGUAUUCGAAGGAGGGCUUCCAGGAGGACUUGUAUGCGGAUCAUGAUAAUCAAUAUCAUAUAACGCUGCUGCAGGAUCCAACCGUCCUGCCCAUAUAAAAAUUUGUUAACAAAAAAUUGGAUCAAAUGCAUAACAAACUACAUUACUAGCUCAUAUAUGAUUGCUAAAAUUGGACUAUAUAUAGAGGAGAAAAUAUAACCGACCUGCUGACAGACAUGGAGUUACCGCCAAGAGGAGAAAAACAAAGCACAGGUUGAUAUCAUUACGAGUACUGGUGAGCGCCAUAAGUUAUCCAGAAACAACUUACUCAAACUACAACUGUUAGAAAGAAAGCUAGUUUUAGUAUUGCAUAACUAGAGAGAGGACUGAUACUUAUAUAAGGUGAUGAGAAGAGGAUUUGAAGGGCCGGAACAUGUUACUACAUGUGAAACUUUUCAGUUGAGAAUUGAAA
rnacentral:lncRNA from 1 species